CCUACGGGCGGCUGCAGUGGGGAAUAUUGCACAAUGGGCGAAAGCCUGAUGCAGCAACGCCGCGUGAGCGAUGAAGGCCUUCGGGUCGUAAAGCUCUGUCCUCAAGGAAGAUAAUGACGGUACUUGAGUAGGAAGCCCCGGCUAACUACGUGCCAGCGGCCGCGGUAAUACGUAGGGGGCUAGCGUUAUCCGGAAUUACUGGGCGUAAGGGGUGCGUAGGUGGUUUCUUAAGUCAGAGGUGAAAGGCGAGGGCUCAACCGGAGGAAGCCUUUGAAACUGGGGCACUGGAGUGCAGGAGAGGUGAGUGGAAUUCCUAGUGUAGCGGUGAAAUGCGUAGAUAUUAGGAGGAACACCAGUGGCGAAGGCGGCUCACUGGACUGUAACUGACGCUGAGGCACGAAAGCGUGGGGAGCAAACAGGAUUAGAUACCCGUGUAGUC
rnacentral:rRNA from 1 species